rnacentral:lncRNA from 10 species
UCCGGGAUUAUAUAGUUCCUGUCUGGCUGCUGGGAGAAGACCACGAGGCCAGGCGAGGGGAGGGGAAGGAGCAGAGUCUCGCACUGUCGCCCAGUCUGGAGUACAGUGGUGCGAUCUCGGCUCACUGCAACCUCCGCCUACAGAGUUCAAGCAAUUCUUCCUGCCUCAGCCUCCCGAGUAGCUGGGAUUACAAGCGCCUGCCACCACACCCAGCUAAUUUUUGUAUUUUUUAGUAGAGACGGGUUUCGCCAUGUUGGCCAGGCUGGUCUCGAACUCCUGACCUCGGGUGAUCCACCAGCCUCUGCCUCCCAAAGUGCUGGGAUUAAGGCGUGAGCCACUGUGCCUGGCCCACCCUAGUUAGAUUUUCAAAAAAGAGAGAGAAGUUCUGGCAUGGUGGCUCACGCCUGUAAUCCCAACACUUUGGGAGGUCGAGGCUGGCGGAUCACUUGAGGUCAGGAGUUCGAGACCACCCUGGCCAACAUGGUAAAACCCUGUCUCUACUAAAAAUACAAAAAUUAGCUGGGCAUGGUAGCAUGGGCCUGUAAUCCUAGCUACUCCGGAGGCUGAGGCAGGAGAAUCACUUGAACCCAGGAGGUGGAGGUUGCAGUGAGCCGAGAUCGCGCCACUGCACUCCAGGCUGGGCAACAGAGUGAGACUCCGUCUCAAAAGUGAAAUAAAAUAAGAGAAAAGAUGCAAGUAAGUAUAAUCAGAAAUGACAAAGGUGACAUUACAACUAAUCCUGCAGAAAUACAGAAAAGCCUCAGAGACUACUGUGAAUAUUUCUAUACACGCAAACUAGAAAAUCUAAGGGAAAUGCCAAAAUUCCUAGAAAGACAAAACCUCCCAAGAUUGAAGCAGGAAGAAAUAGAAUUCCUGAACAGACUAACAGUUACUUACAAAAUUGAAUCAGUAAUAAAAAACCUACCAUCAAAAAAAAAAAAAAAAAAAAUCUCUGGACCAGAUGCUUUCACAGCUGAAUUCUACCACAUACAAAGAAGAGCUGGUACUAAUCCUACUGAAACUGUUUUAAAAAUUUGAGCAGGGAUUCCUUCCUAACUCAUUCUGUGAAACCAAUAUCAUUCUGAUACGAAAAUCUGACAAAGACAUACACAAAAAGAAAAUGAUAGAACAAUAUCCCUGAUGAAAAAUCAAGAAGAAAGGGAAGCAGAAAGAAAGAAAAGGCAUCCAAAUAGGAAGAGAUGAAGACAAAUAAUCUCUCUUCUCUGAUGAUAUGUAUCUAUACCUAGAAAACCUUAAAGAUUCCUCCAAGCCUCCUAGACUUGACAAACAAUUAAGUUUCAGGAUACAAAAUAAAUGUACAAAUGUUAAUAGCGUUUCUAUACAACAAUAACAUUCAAGCUGAAAACCAAAUCAAAAAUGCUAAAAGCCUCAGAAAAUACUUACAAACUGAAUUGAGCAGCACAUCAAAGAGAUAACCUGCCAUAAUCAAGUAGGAUUUAUUCCUGAGAUGAAAAGAUGGUUCAACAUAUGCAGAUCAGUAAAUAUGAUUCACCACAAAGAAAAUUCAAAACAAAAACUAAAUUAUCAUCUCAAUAGAUAUAGGAAAAGCAUUCAAUGAAAUCCAAUUUUCUUUCAUUUAAAAAAACAAAAAACAAAAAACUCUCAACAAGCUAGGCAUCAAAGGAACAUACCUCAAAACAAUAAGAGCCAUCUAUGAAAAAGCCAAAGCCUACAUCAUACUGGAUGGACAAAAGCUGGAAUCAUUCCCCUCAAGAGGUGAAAUAAUACAAGAAUGUCUCACCACUCCUUUUCAACAUAGUGCUGAAAGUCCUAGCCAGAGAAAUCAGGCAAGAGAAAGACAUAAAAGGCAUCCAAAGAGGGAGUCAAAUUUUCUCUCUUCACUGAUGACAUAAUUUUAUACCUAGAAAACCUUAAAGGUUUCUCCAAAGGACUCAUAUACCUGACAAACGACUUUAGCCAAGUUUAAGUAUAUAAAAUCAAUGUACAAAA